AGAACGAACGUUGGCGGCGUGGAUUAGGCAUGCAAGUCGAACGAAUCCCAUCCGGGUAACUGGGUGGGGGAAGUGGCGAAAGGGGCAGUAAGGCAUGGGCAACCUACCCCGGGGACGGGCAUAGCCGUCCUAACGGACGGGUAAUACCUGGCGAUUCGGCGAGGGGGCAUCCCCUUGCCGGGAAACGAGUUUCGCCUCGGGAGGGGCUCAUGUAGUAUUAGCUUGUUGGUAAGGUAACGGCUUACCAAGGCGAAGAUGCUUAGCGGGUGUGAGAGCACGACCCGCGCCACUGGCACUGAGACACUGGCCAGACUCCUACGGGAGGCUGCAGUCGAGGAUCUUCGGCAAUGGGCGCAAGCCUGACCGAGCGACGCCGCGUGUGCGAAGAAGGCCUUCGGGUUGUAAAGCACUGUCGAGGGGGAGAAAGCCGCAAGGUUGAUCGACCCUGGAGGAAGCACGGGCUAAGUCGUGCCAGCAGCCGC
rnacentral:rRNA from 1 species